UUAUGGGCUCUAAUCUCAACUCAUUUUCAUCUAUGAUUUCUAUGGCUGUGUCUGUGUGUGAGUAAAAAGUAGUCCUGAUGUUUGGUUAUUUUUCAUUUGUGUUCAUAUAAAUGUCUGAACUAUUCUAACUAAGGAAGCAGUUAAAUGAGUUAAUUGGUGACUUCCUAUUUGGCUGCUCUCAAUGGCAACUGCUGAUGAAAAACUGACACAAUCUUCAGGGAGAGAUGAUGAUCUGAUGUCAUCUUAGACAAGAUCUCCAAAGGAACUACGAAAAGAGACAAUGAAGGCAAGAACAACUUUAUGCCAUGGGCUGUCAGGAGCUCUUCACCAGGAGCCCAACAACUCUGCUGAGGAUUGUCAAUCACCCCAUGUCUUGUUGUGGUUCUGCUCAACCACACAGUUUCUCAGCCCUGCAGGUGGAAUCACUUGCCAAAGAUCAUACAAAUCAUCAACAGCAGAACUGUGGCUCAAAUCCUGGAUGUCUCAGAGAUGUUUCAAGGUUAACACUUCUAAAACUGAGGUCAUUAUCUUUUCCCCCAAAUAAUCCCCUUUUUCCAAACUUGCUUCUUUCUACUGAAGGUACCACCAUCCUUCUAGUCUCCCAGGUUCAUUAACUUGGCAUUAGUCUCCAUUCCUCACAUUCCCCCUGCUCACAUUAACCAGAAUGUCAAACGUUUUUGUUUCUCCCUCUACAAUAUGGCUCACAUGUGAUCCCAUCUCUUAAUUCACACAUCUUUUGCCUUUGCUCAGGCUAUAAUCACCUCUAACCUAAUAUCACCUUGGAAUUGGAGUUGAGAGAUUGAAGAGAGGGGGAAAGGGAAGAAUGUAGGAUAGUGGAAAGAAUACUGGAUGUAGAUUGAGCUUGAGAUCCCAUGCAAUCUCCCCAAUGCCUGUGCAUCUUUGGACAAAUCAUUUUGUCUCUUUGUCUUCAGUUUACUCAUCUGUAAAAUGAAUAAAAUGAGGAAGUUGGA